rnacentral:lncRNA from 1 species
AGCGCUGAGGGAGCACUGAGCCGACCCAAGGUCUGCAAGGAGUUCGCGGCACCCGCCCGCCCACGCCGGACCCGGAGGGCACGUCCGCCGGGAGGGGCAGUUCCCACGAGGAAAGUCCCAUUGAUGCGAGUUGGCAGUGUAGAGGAUGCUCCCCUCCGGCCGCCGCGGAAGCCGUCGUCCAAAUGCAGGCGAGCGGGGAGGAGGAGGCCGGGAUGCGGCCGGCGGGCCACCUGCUCUCGCCGGCCUGCCAGUCUCCUGCUUGCUCUGAAGCCCUGCCAUAGACGGCCCCGCUCCCCCGUGUAUCCACUGAAACAUUUUUUUAUAAAAACGCUGCGCACAGUUUUAGACUCCUUUCCUGGAAUCGCUUUGCUCCAACUAAGUUAACACGUAACAAAGUUUGUUUUCCAGCCUCGCCCUUGAUCUUCAGAAUGCCCCUCUCGGCUAGGAGGGCUUCUCCAAGUGGAAGUGGUUAGGCAGUUUUGUUUUUGGCCGCCAGGCGUAGGACGCGAGAAGGGGGUGCAGCGGCCGGGGACCAGGGCGGCGGU